CCUACGGGGCGCAGCAGUCGAGAAUCAUUCACAAUGGGGGAAACCCUGAUGGUGCGACGCCGCGUGGGGGAAUGAAGGUCUUCGGAUUGUAAACCUCUGUCAUGUGGGAGCAAAUUAAAAAGAUAGUACCACAAGAGGAAGAGCCGGCUAAGUCGUUGCCAGCAGCCGCGGUAAUACAGAGGUCUCAAGCGUUGUUCGGAAUCACUGGGCGUAAAGCGUGCGUAGGCUGUUUCGUAAGUCGUGUGUGAAAGGAGCGGGGUCAACCCGCGGACGGCACAUGAUACUGCGAGACGAGAGUAAGGGAGGGGGAAGCGGAAGGCGCGGUGUAGCAGUGAAAUGCGUAGAUAUCGAGAGGAACACUCGUGGCGAAGGCGGGUUCCUGGACAUUAACUGACGCUGAGGCACGAAGGCGAGGGGAGCGAAAGGGAUUAGAUACCCGAGUAGUC
rnacentral:rRNA from 1 species